rnacentral:lncRNA from 1 species
GGUGCAACAGUAUCAUAUUUGUACAAAUUCGAAGUUGAAUAAGAAAGAUAUUACCAGCCUUCUUCACAGACUCGAAGAAGAAGAGUCUUCUCUAAACAUGAAAACCUAGGAAUUGAAUUGAAGAAAUCACUAAAGUAGAUCUCGAAAAGACAAAACUUCUACUAGAUUCCAGUCGUUUGAAAGCGAAAAUGAAGAAAUUCCUAAGUUUUGAUGGCAAAAUCGUCGAUUUGGCAAUAAUCUUCGAUCGUCCAGAAAUGCACAUGAAAUCCUCCAAGACUUUAGGCAGGGGUAACAUCGGAUUGAAGCUAAUGAAGCGAGGAAUUAUAAUUCCUGCUCUGAUACCAUGUUAGACUGAAGGAUCAACAGCUAUGGCGGAAAAGAAAUUUAGAAAACCCUAGGUAGGGUGAGAGAGAAUAGAGAACAUGAGUCGGUUCAAUUAGGAAGGCCGACUCUAU